UCCCUGCAGUUUCACGCAGGGGCCGUUCCCAGCUGCCGGGCGUUGGGGUGCUGGGUUCGGGCACAGCGUGCAGCGCUUGGGUGGGUGAUGGUGAUGGCGCGGGGGAGCGCGGUGCCCCCCUUGCUGUCGAACUUGCGUUCGUGCCGCUGGAGAUGGGCGUAAAAGAAGCCAUUAAAUUUGAUUUAGUCGGUUGCUCGGCAGCUGUGGCUGAAUUCACAGGGUGAACGGUGUCCUUUUCCCGCUUAAACUCCACCCGGGCUCUCAGCAAUAGUGUGCUACGCGUUAGAGCUGUGACUGCUAAAGGAGCGUGCCAGUGUACCUGUGCCAGGUUACGUAAAAAAAUCAGCUCCAGAGGUGUCAGUUGCUGGGAAAGAUAGUGGAACAUUUCAGGUAGAGAGAAGCCCUUCUGCCUCUCACCACCCCCAGAAGUACAGUUUCUAUGUGGGCUACCCUGUCUCUGCCGUGGGCCCAACCCUGCUUUCAAGUAGGACCUGCAGCUGUACGAAGCUUUCCCUGAAGCCCGCAGAAGUCUAAGGCAGGAGGAACUCACUUACUGGAAAUGAGAGAGAAGGAGGAAAAGGAUCUUGGAGUAUUAGCCGGUCACACACAAUGAACUGCUAAAAGUGGGGUGCUGUGAAAAAUCAAGGCUGUGAAGUGUCCAGAUCCUGCGGUGCUGCAGAAGUGGUGUAUAUGCAUACAUGCCUCAUGUAUGGGUGGGAUGUGCCAUUUGCGACAUGUUUUGAGGCACCUGACAUGUUUUUCCACAAUUCCCUGAAGA